rnacentral:rRNA from 1 species
CGNGNAUGGAAANGGCGAAAGCCUGGAUCCAGCCAUGCCGCGUGUGUGAAGAAGGUCUUCGGAUUGAUAAAGCACUUUAAGUUGGGAGGAAGGGCAGAUAAGCUAAUACCUUGCUGUUUUGACGUUACCGACAGAAUAAGCACCGGCUAACUCUGUGCCAGCAGCCGCGGUAAUACGA